rnacentral:tRNA from 1 species
GACAGUGUAGCACAGUGGGUAAGGAACUGGACUUGUAACAAAGGUUGCAGGUUCGAUUCCCGGCCACUGCCG